AUAAUCUGUGCUUCGUUCUUUGGUGCGGAUUGUCUACUGGUAUAUUCCUCAUUGGUUAGCAGACAGCAAGCAUCUUCGUUUAUCUCACCAAGAUCCCAACGCUGCCGCCUAGACAGUUGUACCACAUGACUCAGACGCUGCUGCUGUUUCCGCCCUCUCCAGCCCACAGAAAAGACGGCCAGAACAGCGAUGCUUACACAAAACUAUCCUCGGAAUUAUCGCGUCUCGUCAAACAGUCGCGAAAACUUGAAGCGAGCUCCAAAAUAUCCUGCCUGGGAAUUGUCAACGAUUCUCCAAAUAAACGUUUCAUCAGAAGCGAGAAAGUUGCUGCAACUUGCAGUAGGACGGCUGCUGUCAACAUUUGAGAAAAGGAUUUGUCUCUCCCGAACUUCAAACGAGACAGAUAAUGGUGGGUCAACAUAACGCUUCUUUCAUCUUUAUUUGUGUGUUUGUGUUGGAGAGAUGAAUUCUUAAU